CCAUUUGUGAGGCAAUUUGCCAAGAGAAGAAUCGAGCAACUUACCUCCUCCUGGGCAGCCCUUAACCUCAAGUCGCACAAGCUCAGAGGAGUAAAGUCAUGCUCCUGAGCUCCCCACGGGAUCGGGUGCAACAAGACCGGCAUUAAGCCUGAAAUUAUAUCCUUGCUGGGCUUCUUCAUU